UACGAAGGGGGCCAGCGUUGUUCGGAAUUACUCGGCGUACAGCGCACGUAGGCGGCUCUGUAAGUUGGGGGUGAAAUCCCGAGGCUCAACCUCGGAAUUGCCUUCAAGACUGCAGGGCUUGAGUUCGGGAGAGGUGAGUGGAAUUCCCAGUGUAGAGGUGAAAUUCGUAGAGAUUGGGAAGAACACCAGUGGCGAAGGCGGCUCACUGGCCCGUAACUGACGCUGAGGUGCGAAAGCGUGGGGAGCAAACAGG
rnacentral:rRNA from 1 species